GCAAAGAUAAAAACACAGAGUAUGCCAUAAGGCAUACGGAGCCGGUUGGUAGUCCGGCCGGAAGCAUACCUCAAAGGUCUGCUUUCAAGUAACCCUCCUCCUUGGUCGUCCGUUCUUUGUUC
rnacentral:ncRNA from 1 species